AAUGUUAUGCAAGAAAACCACUGCAACCUUCAACAAGAGGGAAAGUCGAGGUCGAAAGCACUGAUAACAGAUGGCUAAGCAGGCAGAUAUGCAACAUGCAACGACUGUGCAGCACUUGAGAGCACACAAUUGAAGCCUGAUAAUUCUUCAUGCACUCGCUGCUCAAAGAUAAGCCAGCAGAGAUGAAUCACACAACUCGACAGCAGGGCAGUCAAAUGCUCUCGACACUGGAUCUGAGAUGAAGUCACUGACAGCAAAAAUGAAGACAUCUGUGCCACCUACGUCUAUUGGUUACCCCUAAGGAUACCCUAAGGUUACCCCUAUUGGUUACCCCUAAGGAGCGCAGCAAUACAAGACAGACUUGCGUUGCUCAAUUAGUCCAGAAAAAGCUUUUUAACAACUGCUACCAAAUCUUACGAUUACACAACUGCCAGCCAUGAAAUUUUAAAAGUACUACAGGGAAAUCAAAGAAAAAAUAACAUUUGGUAAAACGCACACGUAAUGUUCUGUCAGUGAAAAUAGUGGCUGUUUAUUAAAACACUGUUAACUUUGUUCGCUAAGGCUGCUGUGAACAAUGCUCUGAUCUAGAGCUGAAACUAGAAUGAUCCGCACCUCGAACAAACAAAAUGUUUAUGAGGCCUAUGCAUGAGACAUUUAAAACACUGGCCCAAAAGUUGGGUUGCCUUUAUACACUGGUUCAACGAGUGGUUAGUGCUGCAGUGGGUGGAUCCCAAUAAUCGAGCUCGUCUGAAAAAUGAGGCUCUGAGAAAUAGACUGCUCCAUGUUUAGUAUUCUUUAGAAAUCCCUUUUGCCCUAAACCGGACGCGAACGAGUUAAAAAAAUACGGGAAUCUUACGAAGAAACCUUAGAAAUUGGCAUGUGUGUUAUUAUGCAUUUUGGUACCAUGCAACAUCAUAUAAUGGCACCAAGUGCAAGGCAUCAUGACAAGGACAGCGAAGAGCAUCCAUUUCAGCUGCUGAUUUAACAGGAUGUCCCUGUCAGUUCAAAAGGUACCACCGAUGUGCCGACCAAUAUUGAAGCACAAGAAGUGUGAAUGAUGGCAGCAACCAAAUUUACAACUGAAGCUGUGAUGCUAUCUGGGACUAAACUCUUAAGGCAAAAAGCAGUGUUUUAAGUGCAUAAGAUAAAUGCCCCAAGGUGUAAACAACAUACAGUGUUGCCUGCAACAGGUUUUGUACAAAUAAACCUCAUCAGAAGGCUUCAUGACAAUGGCUAUCACUUUUCUCAACGAAACGAAAUAAACUAACAUAUCCAUGUUAAAUUGCAACUUCUUGCAGCUAAGGAGCACACAUGCUUCACAUCUUGAGAAGUGGGAAGGGUUUAAUACUAAAUAAUUAGAUAAUCAGCAAACUACAUCACAUCUUCUGUGCGUGUUCUGUCUUACAGUGGUUCCGAUAAGCUAGAAGUUGUUCACCACAGUACUGUGAAACCCCCUUGAUACGUUCCUUGCUGUUGCGUUUUCCUGGCUGGUGCUUCAUACUUUCGCGGUCUCAACCUAAAGCCCAUUGACUCUUAAUUUCCUGUUUGAUAUGUUGCGAUUCCGUGACAUUCCUGCAUCUUACGUUGUAUUUUAAUGUGGCAGUCACGUAAACACAGUGGUGCAGGGGCAAAUUCAGAAUUUCGAAAUGCUGAAAGCAUACAAUCGUCGGUCGCACAGAGCUGUUCCUGACGUUGCUCUGAUGAAUCGGGGCCUUGCUCACCAUUAUGUUUUCCUCGCUGUUACCAAUACUUUUUCCAGCGAUCCCUUGAAAAACAAGGUUCUACUGUGUAUACUCAGCACGCUAUUGGGGGAUGGCUAGAAAAGAGCACAAAUAACGCAACAUAAAGUGUUUGCUUUGCAACUAGACUUUACUUACAACUGCAAAAGCAGAAGUGAGAAUACACAUAAGCAAAAUCUAGAGUAAUUAUCGACACUGGGCAACAGCACUGUGUUUUAUGCCUUUCGUGUGCUUUUUCUGCAAGCCGAGUACCAUUCUUCUACAGUUAAAGUUGUGAUUGACAUGGACACAAUAAACUGACCAUCUUUUGA